rnacentral:rRNA from 1 species
ACGAACUGCGCGAACGUUAUUCGGAAUCACUGGGCUUAAAGGGUGCGUAGGCGGCCUGUUAAGUAGGGUGUGAAAUUUGUCGGCUCAACCGGCAAACUGCAUUCUAAACUGGCAGGCUUGAGUGAGUCAGGGGUGUGCGGAACUUCCGGUGGAGCGGUGAAAUGCGUUGAUAUCGGAAGGAACGCCGGUGGCGAAAGCGGCACACUGGGGCUUUUCUGACGCUGAGGCACGAAAGCCAGGGGAGCGAACAGG